UACGGAAGGGGCAAGCGUUGUUCGGAAUCAUUGGGCGUAAAGGGCGCGUAGGUGGUGCUGUAUGUCUCCCGUGAAAGCCCACGGCUCAACCGUGGUGUGUCGGGAGAAACUGCAGGACUUGAGGCUGGGAGGGGCUGGUGGAAUUCCCUGUGUAGCGGUGAAAUGCGUAGAGAUGGGGGAGAACACUCGUGGCGAAGGCGGCCAGCUAGACCAGUUCUGACACUGAGGCGCGACAGCGUGGGGAGCAAACAGG
rnacentral:rRNA from 1 species